GUAAAGCGUGCGCAGGCGGUUUGUUAAGAUAGGCGUGAAAUCCCCGGGCUCAACCUGGGAACUGCGUUUAUGACUGGCAGGCUAGAGUAUGGCAGAGGGGGGUGGAAUUCCACGUGUAGCAGUGAAAUGCGUAGAGAUGUGGAGGAACACCGAUGGCGAAGGCAGCCCCCUGGGCCAAUACUGACGCUCAUGCACGAAGGCGUGGGUAGCAAACAGGAUUAGAUACCCUGGUAGUCCACGCCCUAAACGAUGUCAACUAGGUGUUGGGUGGGUAAAACCAUUUAGUACCGGAGCUAACGCGUGAAGUUGACCGCCUGGGGAGUACGGCCGCAAGGUUAAAACUCAAAGGAAUUGACGGGGACCCGCACAAGCGGUGGAUGAUGUGGAUUAAUUCGAUGCAACGCGAAAAACCUUACCUGCCCUUGACAUGUCCAAAAGCUCUUAGAGAUUUGAGUGUGCCCGAAAGGGAGCUGGAACACAGGUGCUGCAUGGCUGUCGUCAGCUCGUGUCGUGAGAUGUUGGGUUAAGUCCCGCAACGAGCGCAACCCUUGUCGUUAAUUGCCAUCAUUCAGUUGGGCACUUUAACGAGACUGCCGGUGACAAACCGGAGGAAGGUGGGGAUGACGUCAAGUCCUCAUGGCCCUUAUGGGUAGGGCUUCACACGUCAUACAAUGGUCGGUACAAAGGGUUGCCAACCCGCGAGGGGGAGCUAAUCCCAGAAAGCCGAUCGUAGUCCGGAUCGUAGGCUGCAACUCGCCUGCGUGAAGUCGGAAUCGCUAG
rnacentral:rRNA from 1 species